UUGAACGCUGGCGGCAGGCCUAACACAUGCAAGUCGCGCGGAUGAAGGGAGCUUGCUCCUGGAUUCAGCGGCGGACGGGUGAGUAAUGCCUAGGAAUCUGCCUGGUAGUGGGGGAUAACGUCCGGAAACGGGCGCUAAUACCGCAUACGUCCUGAGGGAGAAAGUGGGGGAUCUUCGGACCUCACGCUAUCAGAUGAGCCUAGGUCGGAUUAGCUAGUUGGUGGGGUAAAGGCCUACCAAGGCGACGAUCCGUAACUGGUCUGAGAGGAUGAUCAGUCACACUGGAACUGAGACACGGUCCAGACUCCUACGGGAGGCAGCAGUGGGGAAUAUUGGACAAUGGGCGAAAGCCUGAUCCAGCCAUGCCGCGUGUGUGAAGAAGGUCUUCGGAUUGUAAAGCACUUUAAGUUGGGAGGAAGGGCAGUAAGUUAAUACCUUGCUGUUUUAACGUUACCAACAGAAUAAGCACCGGCUAACUUCGUG
rnacentral:rRNA from 1 species